CCUUACACAUGCAAGUCGAACGGCGAGCAUGGGAAGAGCUUGCUCUUCGUGAUGGCGAGUGGCGAACGGGUGAGUAAAGCAUCGGAACGUACCGUGUAGUUGGGAUAACGUAGCGAAAGUUACGCUAAUACCGCAUACGCACUGAGGUGGAAAGCAGGGGAUCGCAAGACCUUGCGCUAUACGAGCGGCCGAUGUCAGAUUAGCUAGUUGGUAGGGUAAAGGCCUACCAAGGCGACGAUCUGUAGCGGGUCUGAGAGGAUGAUCCGCCACACUGGGACUGAGACACGGCCCAGACUCCUACGGGAGGCAGCAGUGGGGAAUUUUGGACAAUGGGCGAAAGCCUGAUCCAGCCAUGCCGCGUGAGUGAAGAAGGCCUUCGGGUUGUAAAGCUCUUUCGGCUGGGAAGAAAUCGCACAGGCUAAUACUCUGUGUGGAUGACGGUACCAGCACAAGAAGCACCGGCUAACUACGUG
rnacentral:rRNA from 1 species